rnacentral:rRNA from 1 species
UACGAAGGGUGCUAGCGUUGCUCGGAAUCACUGGGCGUAAAGCGCGCGUAGGCGGAUUUUUAAGUCAGGGGUGAAAUCCCGAGGCUCAACCUCGGAACUGCCUUUGAUACUGGAGAUCUUGAGUCCGGAAGAGGUAAGUGGAACUGCGAGUGUAGAGGUGAAAUUCGUAGAUAUUCGCAAGAACACCAGUGGCGAAGGCGGCUUACUGGUCCGGAACUGACGCUGAGGUGCGAAAGCGUGGGGAGCAAACAGG